rnacentral:rRNA from 1 species
GACGAACGCUGGCGGCGUGCCUAACACAUGCAAGUCGAGCGAAUGAAGUUCCUUCGGGGAUGGAUUUAGCGGCGGACGGGUGAGUAACACGUGGGCAACCUGCCUCAUAGAGGGGAAUAGCCUUCCGAAAGGGAGAUUAAUACCGCAUAAGAUUGUAGUACCGCAUGAUACAGCAAUUAAAGGAGCAAUCCGCUAUGAGAUGGGCCCGCGGCGCAUUAGCUAGUUGGUGAGGUAACGGCUCACCAAGGCGACGAUGCGUAGCCGACCUGAGAGGGUGAUCGGCCACAUUGGGACUGAGACACGGCCCAGACUCCUACGGGAGGCAGCAGUGGGGAAUAUUGCACAAUGGGGGAAACCCUGAUGCAGCAACGCCGCGUGAGUGAUGACGGCCUUCGGGUUGUAAAGCUCUGUCUUCAGGGACGGUAAUGACGGUACCUGAGGAGGAAGCCACGGCUAACUACGUGCCAGCCGCCGCAGUAA